CAAAGAACGGAUUAGAAAAAGCGCAAAAAAAAUCAAAAACUUAAAAAGAUGAAAAAGUACGCAAAAAGUGCACUACAUGUUAAUGACGUAAUUAAUCUAAUGACGUGAUUCGUUUAUAACGCAUCCAUCGGAUUAUUGCUAAUCCUUAUCCGUGGUUAUCCUCCUGAGUGAGGGAUCACACAUUAUUUAACCAGAAUGUAGGCCAUAU
rnacentral:lncRNA from 1 species